ACGGGUGCGUAACGCGUGGGAAUCUGCCCCUUGGUUCGGAAUAACAGUUGGAAACGACUGCUAAUACCGGAUGAUGACGUAAGUCCAAAGAUUUAUCGCCGAGGGAUGAGCCCGCGUAAGAUUAGCUAGUUGGUGUGGUAAAGGCGCACCAAGGCGACAAUCUUUAGCUGGUCUGAGAGGAUGAUCAGCCACACUGGGACUGAGACACGGCCCAGACUCCUACGGGAGGCAGCAGUGGGGAAUAUUGGACAAUGGGCGAAACCUGAUCCAGCAAUGCCGCGUGAGUGAUGAAGGCCUUAGGGUUGUAAAGCUCUUUUACCCGGGAUGAUAAUGACAGUACCGGGAGAAUAAGCUCCGGCUAACUCCGUGCCAGCAGCCGCGGUAAUACGGAGGGAGCUAGCGUUAUUCGGAAUUACUGGGCGUAAAGCGCACGUAGGCGGCUUUGUAAGUUAGAGGUGAAAGCCUGGAGCUCAACUCCAGAAUUGCCUUUAAGACUGCAUCGCUUGAAUCCAGGAGAGGUGAGUGGAAUUCCGAGUGUAGAGGUGAAAUUCGUAGA
rnacentral:rRNA from 1 species